rnacentral:rRNA from 1 species
GGUUAAGUUAAUAAGGGCGCAUGGUGGAUGCCUAGGUGCCAGAUGCCGAUGAAGGACGGAGCGAACGCCGAAACGCCCCGGGGAGCUGUAAGCAAGCGUUGAUCCGGGGAUCUCCGAAUGGGGCAACCCCCUGCGGUUCAUACCGCAGGAUUCCGAUCUGAAUCCAUAGGAUCGGAAAGGUACACCAGGGGAACUGAAACAUCUAAGUACCCUGAGGAAAAGAAAACAACAGUGAUUCCCUAAGUAGCGGCGAGCGAACGGGGAAUAGCCCAAACCGCACAUGCUUGCAUGUGCGGGGUUGCGGGGCGUCUCAUACGAAGUUAUCAAUCCAUUGGGUAGGAGAACGGCCUGGAACGGCCGAUCGCAGAGGGUGACAAUCCCGUAUCUGAAACCAAAUGGACUUCGAGACGAACCCCAAGUACCGCGGGACACGUGAAAUCCCGUGGGAAUCCGGGAGGACCACCUCCUAAGGCUAAAUACACCCUGGCAACCGAUAGUGAACCAGUACCGUGAGGGAAAGGUGAAAAGCACCCCGGGAGGGGAGUGAAACAGAACCUGAAACCAUGUGCCUACAAUCAGUCGGAGGGCCAUACCACCCCAAAAAGUAUUACUUUUCGGGGACCCCGGUUAGCCUGACGGCGUGCCUUUUGUAGAAUGAACCGGCGAGUGAUGGUCGCAAGCGAGGUUAAAGCGAGAAGCUGGAGCCGUAGCGAAAGCGCGUCUGAAAAGGGCGGCAGUUUGCGGUCAUCGACCCGAAACCGGGUGAUCUACCCCUGGUCAGGGUGAAGUUGCGGUAAAACGCAAUGGAGGCCCGAACCCACUGACGUUGAAAAGUCAGGGGAUGAACUGGGGGUAGGGGAGAAAUUCCAAUCGAACUCGGAGAUAGCUGGUUCUCCCCGAAAUAGCUUUAGGGCUAGCGUUGGAGCGAGAGGGAUGGAGGUAGAGCACUGAUUGGGCUAGGGGCCUGUCCAAGGUUACCGAACUCAGUCAAACUCCGAAUGCCGUUUCCUUAUCUCCAGCAGUCAGACUACGAGUGCUAAGAUCCGUGGUCAAAAGGGAAACAGCCCAGACCAUCAGCUAAGGUCCCCAAGUUCCGGUUAAGUGGGAAACGAUGUGGCGGUGCACAGACAACCAGGAUGUUGGCUUAGAAGCAGCCACCAUUGAAAGAGUGCGUAAUAGCUCACUGGUCGAGUGACGCUGCGCGGAAAAUGUAACGGGGCUAAACCGGACACCGAAGCUAUGGAUGUGCGCUUUGCGCACGUGGUAGGGGAGCGUUCUCAGCGAGUGGAAGUCAGACCGGAAGGUCUGGUGGAUGGCUGAGAAGUGAGAAUGCCGGUAUAAGUAGCGAAAAGACAGGUGAGAAUCCUGUCCACCGAAAGCCUAAGGGUUCCUGGGGAAGGCUCGUCCUCCCAGGGUUAGUCGGGACCUAAGCCGAGGCCGAAAGGCGUAGGCGAUGGACAACUGGUGGAAAUUCCAGUACCACCGUGUCACCGUUUGAGUGAGGGAGUGACGCAGGAGGAUAGGGUGAGCGGCCUGUUGGAUGGCCGUGCAAGCAGCAAGGCUGGGAGAUUGGCAAAUCCGUCUUCCAUACGGUCAAGCUGUGAUGCCGAGCGAAAUUGUAGUAGCGAAGUCCCUGAUUUCACACUGCCAAGAAAAGCUUCUAGCGAGGGGACCGGUGCCCGUACCGCAAACCGACACAGGUAGGCGAGGAGAGAAUCCUCAGGUGCGCGGGAAAACUCUCGUUAAGGAACUCGGCAAAAUGGCCCCGUAACUUCGGGAGAAGGGGCGCUCUGGUAGGGUGUUCUUUACGAAUGCCUGAGAGAGCCGCAGUGAAAAGGCCCAAGCGACUGUUUAGCAAAAACACAGGUCUCUGCUAAGCCGAAAGGCGAUGUAUAGGGGCUGACGCCUGCCCGGUGCUGGAAGGUUAAGAGGAGGGGUUAUCCCUUGCGGGAGAAGCUCUGAAUUGAAGCCCCAGUAAACGGCGGCCGUAACUAUAACGGUCCUAAGGUAGCGAAAUUCCUUGUCAGGUAAGUUCUGACCCGCACGAAUGGCGUAACGACUUGGGCGCUGUCUCAACGAGAGACCCGGUGAAAUUGUAGUACCUGUGAAGAUGCAGGUUACCCGCGGCUAGACGGAAAGACCCCGUGGAGCUUGACUGUAGCUUGAUAUGGAAGUUGGGUACUUCAUGUACAGGAUAGGUGGGAGACUGCGAAGCCAGGGCGCCAGCCUUGGUGGAGUCAAUCUUGGGAUACCACCCUUGAAGUAUCCGGCUUCUAACUCGACGCCCUGAAGCGGGUGUGAGGACAGUGUCAGGUGGGCAGUUUGACUGGGGCGGUCGCCUCCCAAAGCGUAACGGAGGCGCCCAAGGGUUCCCUCAGCGCGGUUGGAAAUCGCGCGGCGAGUGCAAAGGCAAAAGGGAGCUUGACUGCGAGACUUACAAGUCGAGCAGGGACGAAAGUCGGGCUUAGUGAUCCGGCGGUGCCGAGUGGAAGGGCCGUCGCUCAACGGAUAAAAGCUACCCCGGGGAUAACAGGCUUAUCUCCCCCAAGAGUCCACAUCGACGGGGAGGUUUGGCACCUCGAUGUCGGCUCAUCGCAUCCUGGGGCUGAAGUCGGUCCCAAGGGUUGGGCUGUUCGCCCAUUAAAGCGGUACGCGAGCUGGGUUCAGAACGUCGUGAGACAGUUCGGUCCCUAUCUGCCGCGGGCGCAGGAAAUUUGAGAAGUGCUGUCCUUAGUACGAGAGGACCGGGAUGGACCGACCGCUGGUGUCUCAGUUGUGGUGCCAACUGCAUCGCUGAGUAGCCAAGUCGGGACGGGAUAAGCGCUGAAAGCAUCUAAGCGCGAAGCCCGCUUCAAGAUGAGAUUUCCCACUAGGAAGCUAGGUAAGACCCCAUGAAGAAGACAUGGUUGAUAGGUCUGGAGUGUACGUGUGGUGACACAUUGAGCUGACAGAUACUAAUCGGUCGAGGACUUAACCUA